CCCAGCUCAUUAUAUUGCUUUAUUUUCAGCAUACACUCAAUUCUUGGUACUAUGCUUUGAAAAUAACCAAUGAAUGUGGGAGAAUGUAGUAAAUUGGAAAGAUAGCGGUAUUUUGGAGUGGAAAGAAGGCCGUGGAGAUAAUUUUGCCCAAAUGCUUUGUUUUCCAGAAGAGAGCAGCAAAAGAUGUCUCAAGGAUGAACAGUGAUGGUUCUGAAAGACUCUGCCUGGAGCAGCCACCUGGCUAAGAAGUCAUUUAACAAGAAACCAAAACCAAAACCACCCAGCGAUUGGAGAAGAGCUCAGGUCUACCGAGUCAUUUUGAGAAGCUUAGCUUUCUUCGGAUCUGAGCCACGAUGCCCCUGCACCGAGGGCCAGCGGGUGCCUUUGUGCAUCUCAGGUUCUGGGGCCCUGUGCACGCCACAGGGUGGGGUGGUCCUGCCCAGUGCUACAUCAGGGGAAAGUUAUUCUGGGUCUCCUGAGGGCUCAUAAAUCUGCUGUGCAGAUGAAAGCUCCAUAAAAGGCUCCUCUCUGUACAAGUCUCAAAUUUCCCUUCAAUUUAAAUCUGACAAAUGAAUAAUGAAAUGGCUAAGUCACAAUCCCCUCGCCA
rnacentral:lncRNA from 1 species